UAGUUGGUGGGGUAACGGCUCACCAAGGCGACGAUCCGUAGCUGGUUUGAGAGAACGACCAGCCACACUGGGACUGAGACACGGCCCAGACUCCUACGGGAGGCAGCAGUGGGGAAUUUUGGACAAUGGGGGAAACCCUGAUCCAGCCAUCCCGCGUGUGCGAUGAAGGCCUUCGGGUUGUAAAGCACUUUUGGCAGGAAAGAAACGUCGCGGGUUAAUACCUCGCGGAACUGACGGUACCUGCAGAAUAAGCACCGGCUAACUACGUGCCAGCAGCCGCGGUAAUACGUAGGGUGCAAGCGUUAAUCGGAAUUACUGGGCGUAAAGCGUGCGCAGGCGGUUCGGAAAGAAAGAUGUGAAAUCCCAGAGCUUAACUUUGGAACUGCAUUUUUAACUACCGGGCUAGAGUGUGUCAGAGGGAGGUGGAAUUCCGCGUGUAGCAGUGAAAUGCGUAGAUAUGCGGAGGAACACCGAUGGCGAAGGCAGCCUCCUGGGAUAACACUGACGCUCAUGCACGAAAGCGUGGGGAGCAAACAGGAUUAGAUAC
rnacentral:rRNA from 1 species